AGUGAACGCUGGCGGUAGGCCUAACACAUGCAAGUCGAACGGCAGCACAGUAAGAGCUUGCUCUUACGGGUGGCGAGUGGCGGACGGGUGAGGAAUACAUCGGAAUCUACUUUUUCGUGGGGGAUAACGUAGGGAAACUUACGCUAAUACCGCAUACGACCUACGGGUGAAAGCAGGGGAUCUUCGGACCUUUCGCGAUUGAAUGAGCCGAUGUCGGAUUAGCUAGUUGGCGGGGUAAAGGCCCACCAAGGCGACGAUCCGUAGCUGGUCUGAGAGGAUGAUCAGCCACACUGGAACUGAGACACGGUCCAGACUCCUACGGGAGGAAGCAGUGGGGAAUAUUGGACAAUGGGCGCAAGCCUGAUCCAGCCAUACCGCGUGGGUGAAGAAGGCCUUCGGGUUGUAAAGCCCUUUUGUUGGGAAAGAAAAGCAGCAGGUUAAUACCCCGCUGUUCUGACGGUACCCAAAGAAUAAGCACCGGCUAACUUCGUG
rnacentral:rRNA from 1 species